rnacentral:rRNA from 1 species
UACGUAGGGGGCUAGCGUUGUCCGGAAUCAUUGGGCGUAAAGCGCGUGUAGGCGGUCCGGUAAGUCCGCUGUGAAAAGUCCGGGGGGCUCAACCCUCGGAUGCCGGUGGAUACUGUCGGGCUUGAGUACGGAAGAGGCGAGUGGAAUUCCUGGUGUAGCGGUGAAAAUGCGCAGAGUAUCAGGAGGAACACCAAUUGCGAAGGCAGACGCCGCUGGG